AUGUUGACUUCUGAUAGAAAAUUCACUGUCAAAUCACUAUACAGGUUUCUGAUCAAGUCUGGCGUAGGAUUCCCUAGGAUGUUUCUGUGGAAGAAUAAAGUUCCUACUAAGAUCAGAUUCUUUCUUUGGCUGCUAGCAAGGAAAAGUAUACUCACUAGAGACAAUUUGUUGAAGAGGGGCCAGAAAGGAGAUAAAAAUUGUGUAUUUUGUGGCAAAGAUGAAAUGAUAGAUCAUAUGUUUUUCUCUUGCUCAGUAGCAAAAAUCAUCUGGGCUCUAGUGAGAUGUGCAUUUGAUUUGACAUGUACACCUAGAGACCUUAAUGAGUGUUUCGGAACAUGGUUCAAAAAUUUCCAGAAAGAUAGCAAGAAACUUAUAUUGGUUGGCGUCUCAGCGCUACUGUGGACAAUUUGGCGAUGUAGAAAUAACAUUGUGUUUGAUAGAAAAAUGAUUUCUGACCCAAUGGGUAUUGUGAAAAUGAUGUGUGGAUGGAUCUCUGACUGGGCUGUUUUACAGAAAAGGUACCCAGGGGAAAGAAUGUUGAUGUUGGGAGCAAAACUAAUCGUGCAAGUAGCAAGUGAUGUCUACAGAGCCGCGCAAGGCUGGCAUUUUGGAGUUCUUUGA
rnacentral:rRNA from 1 species